GCGCAGGUGCGCAUGGCGAGGGUCCUCUGCUGCCUGUCGGGCCGAGUGCCGGCUUUCACGUUUGCGGGUGCUGAGCCGUUCCCUCAGUGGGACCUAGACAUCACUUAUGCACUGAAGAGGCCAAUGUGAAACUUACAUUUUUUCAUAGGCUGGUUAUGGAACUGGAAAACUUCAAGGAGAUAAUGAAGACAUCCCCUUCAAGGUGAAUUGCUGGAUCUGCCCAUUCAAACAG